GAGAAGAGAAACUGGGAAACAGCAUUCUAGAAUGGAAAUGGAGGAGGAUUUCCAGCAGUACUAAAGAAAGGCCAGAUGGUGAUUUCUUUUCCAUCCAGUUAACCUUUCUUGACUAAGGUCAGCUGUCAUGCUCCUUGUCAUCUGCAGUCUGGUGUGCAGGCUGAAGAAACAGCCCUGUGUGGGACACUGCUGGUCUUGUGGUAGAAAGAAAAGAAAGACGAUGGAAUCACACUGUGAUUCAGAUUGUGGGCUGCACUUCCAGUCAUGUUUUAUUGGCUAAAGUGUGUGCCUGUCCUCAACCCGGAACACUGGAACAAGCAUCAAAGCCUUACGAAGAGAAUCAGGACAUCCUACUGAGUGCCAGAACAUUUCUUUCCCCAAGAAAAGGAAAUACAAAUGGAUUUAUUCUCAGGGUCUACAGAUUUAGCACCAAAAAAAAAAAAAAAAAGCUGCGCUUAACACCAGGCCACUGUACAAUCACCAGGACCUUUCUGGAUGUGGAGCAACUUCAUUUGUUUAUUUCAGAAUGCUUUGUAAACAGCGCAGACACGGACAAAGCACGGCUGAAGCAUUUCAGUUGUACUUGUCUCUCAUUUUCUACACGUGUUUUCCCAAAGGCUGCUUUCCCAAAGGGAGCCUGGGGAGAGGCCUUAAUCAUCUGUUAUCUCUCUUGCAGCUUCCUGCUCAGCCAGUGGCAACAUCCAAAAUAUAUACGAGCAUUUCCUGUUCUUUCUCAUUUUGUAUAACCCACAUGCUAGAGAGAUUGAGUUGUCUGAUCUAGCUCCACAUAGGACUUAGGUGGCACGUGGGAACCUAAGUCCAACCACUAAAUGCUCUAAUUACCCGUCUUCUUAACCUAGGUAAAGAGUGAUCUCUUUCAAGACUACAAUGUGCUUAUCUUUCCUUGGACGUUCAAAACAAGACAAAGCAAAACAAGAGUCUGUUUUUAAAUGUCAA